UACAGAGGUCCCAAGCCGUUGUUCGGAUUCACUGGGCGUAAAGGGUGCGUAGGUGGUUGGGAAAGUUUGAUGUGAAAGCUCGGAGCUUAACUCCGAAAUGGCAUUGAAUACUUCUUAACUUGAGGGUCGGAGGGGAGACUGGAAUUCUCGGUGUAGCAGUGAAAUGCGUAGAGAUCGGGAGGAACAUCAGUGGCGAAGGCGGCCAUCUGGGACAACACUGACGCUGAGGCACGAAAGCGUGGGGAGCAAACAGG
rnacentral:rRNA from 1 species